rnacentral:rRNA from 1 species
CCUACGGGUGGCAGCAGUGGGGGAUAUUGCACAAUGGGGGAAACCCUGAUGCAGCGACGCCGCGUGAGUGAAGAAGUAUUUCGGUAUGUAAAGCUCUAUCAGCAGGGAAGAAAAUGACAGUACCUGACCAAGAAGCCCCGGCUAACUACGUGCCAGCAGCCGCGGGAAUACGUAGGGGGCAAGCGUUAUCCGGAUUUACUGGGUGUAAAGGGGGCGUAGACGGUUAUGUAAGUCUGGAGUGAAAGCCCGGGGCCCAACCCCGGGACUGCUUUGGAAACUGUGUAACUGGAGUACAGGAGGGGCAGGCGGAAUGCCUGGUGUAGCGGUGAAAUGCGUAGAUAUCAGGAGGAACACCGGCGGCGAAGGCGGCCUGCUGGACUGAAACUGACGUUGAGGCUCGAAAGCGUGGGGAGCAAACAGGAUUAGAUACCCGAGUAGUC